CGGCUUCUCUUUUCUGCCUUCGUAUCCUCUCUCUCUGUCAUGGAGCUAUCUUUCGUUUUGUUUCUCACCCCCCUCUCUGAGCCAUUCUUCCCUUCUUUUCGGUUAUUUUGAGCUCUCUUGCGUUUUGUUUCCUUUGUUUUUCUUUGUUGGUUAAUGUGACUUUUCUUCAUGGAGACGUACUGAAAUCUGUUCGGGUCUUCAUUUCUUUUGAUACCUUAUUCUUGAAUCCGUACUCUUCUUUCUUGUUUUGGGCGUUGGGCUCUUCCUCUUCUUUCGAACACUUCUUGCGCGCCAGAACUCCGAUGG
rnacentral:lncRNA from 1 species